UUGGGCAUUGCAGACACAUUUUCCCCAGAUGAUCGAAGUUGAAAUAAUUGAGCUAUUGCAUCUCUGUUUUAGAGAGAGAUACCAAGCCAGGUGUUUCUGAUCCAU